rnacentral:lncRNA from 1 species
CAGAAAAUCUGUGGGCCUAGCCAGUGUCGGCUAAUGUGUAGAACAUCUCCUUUGGGGUGGCUUUACUAGGUACGCAUCAGAGAUCUCCAACACACCACUAUCUUGAGAUCUUUAUAGAGCAUGAGGCCAAGAAGUGUGUGUAGGUGUAGAGGCGUGUGCGUGCAUGAGGCAGAAAGGGACUUGUGAAGACUCAAGAGGAGGGUAUGUCGCGGGUGGGAAAAUGUUGGAAGAAAGAUUUCUGCAGGAUACCGUAGGCAGAGUGGGUGUAUCAGGUGCCGGGAUGAGGAAUUUCUGGGGUGGAGCCCUAAGAGUAUGACUGAAACCCUUUCCUUCUGUCUGAGGGGAAGCUGGUUAACCACCCAUGCCCACCCUAUGCCUUGGCUUGGGCCACCAGUAGCAUUGUGGCUGCUGGCUGUGACCGGAAGAUUGUGGCCUAUGGAAAGGAAGGGCACGUGCUGCAGACUUUUGAUUACAGCCGGGACCCGCAGGAGCGGGAGUUCACCACGGCUGCAGCGAGUCCUGGGGGCCAGUCUGUUGUCCUGGGAAGUUAUGACAGACUGCGGGUGAUCAACUGGAGUCCUCGAAGAAGCAUCUGGGAAGAGGCGAAGCCCAAGGAGAUUGCCAACUUAUACACCGUCACUGCCUUGGCCUGGAAGCGGGACGGCUCACGCCUCUGCGCAGGCACACUCUGUGGUGCAGUGGAACAGUUUGACUGCUGCCUCCGAAGGAGCAUUUACAGGAAUAAGUUUGAGCUGACCUACGUGGGACCCAGCCAGGUGAUUGUGAAGAACCUGGCAUCAGGGACCCGUGUGGUGCUCAAGUCUCACUAUGGCUAUGAGGUGGAAGAGGUGAAAAUCCUGGGAAAGGAACGUUAUUUGGUGGCGCACACAUCAGAUACGCUGCUGCUGGGAGACCUGAACACAAAUCGCCUUAGUGAGGUAGCCUGGCAGGGAUCUGGCGGCAAUGAAAAGUAUUUCUUUGAAAAUGAGAAUGUGUGUAUGAUCUUCAACGCUGGAGAGCUGACCCUGGUGGAAUAUGGGAGCAACGACACCUUGGGCUCCGUGCGUACUGAAUUCAUGAACCCUCACCUCAUCAGCGUCCGUAUUAAUGAGCGACAUCAGCAAGGAAUGGAAGAUAAUAAGAAAUUGGCUUAUCUUGUUGAUAUUAAGACUAUUGCUGUAGGUAAGAGUCUCUCAUAGUUUUAAUAACAAAAUAGAUGCUUGUAUUGCAUUUCCAUAGUAUAAGUUUGUGUUCAGUGGGGAAUCCAGGAAUCGGAGAGGCACUGGGUAGAUGUAUAACCCCAUUCUUUUUUUUUUUUUUGGUACUGGGGAUCGAACUCAGGAUCUUA